rnacentral:lncRNA from 1 species
UAAUGAUUAACACUGCUGCAGUCUGGGAACAGUUUAUUCAACUGCGGUGACGGAAACAAGGAGAAAGCCCUUCCUCAAACCCCUCGGCAAAAUCUGCUUUCCACUUCUGACUGAUGGUGGGAAGAAGAAAGACGCUGCAUUUGGAAGGACUGUCAGAAUCAAAUAUGUCUGAAAUCUUAAAUGCUUCUCAGUGUCUGUUUUGUGAUUUUUAAAAUUUUGUUUACAAAAGCUUUUCUCUUUCCUCCCCCUCUCUCCUUCUCUCUCCUUCCUCCCUUCCUUCCUUCCUUUCAGUGAAAAGAGGAAAGGAUAACAAAAUAUUGCUCAUUUGGGAAAGGUAACAAUAGAAAGCCAGCAAAAACUGCAUCUGGAUCCACCUUCCAAUGCAGGGGAUGUGGGUUCGAUCCCUGGUUGGGGACCUAAGAUCCCUCAUGCCACGGAGCACCUGAACCAGCACGCUGCAACCACGGAGACUGCAUGCCACAACUAGAGAGUCUGUGCGCAGCAAGGAGUAUCUCAAGGGCUGCAACUGAGAUCUGACACAGCCAAAUAAACAAAUAAAUAAUUAAAAAGAGAGAAGACUCUGCACCUGGGAGUAAGGGGAGAGCUUCCCCUUCCAUGACCGAGUGGAAGCCUAGAAUGUCAAAAUAAGGAGGGGCCUCAGGGAUCGUCCUGACUCAUCUUCUCAAAGAAGAUGGACCCAAAGGUUGAUCUCUCGCACAGGACUCUUCAUCACAGCACUGCCACUUCCUCUGCUCCAGGCUGGAAGCAGGCUGGGCAGAGCUUGUUAGGCAAUGUCAUGAGUUUUGCUGCAGCUCUCUCUGAAGCAGGGGUGACAUGACACGUUUGAACCUCUGAGCUAGAGCAUCCUCUGGAUCAUGCUGAGACUUGGUCAGCUUGGGCGGACAGGGUGGUUGAGAGUUUUGCACUCCAACUAUGUGCUGGGGUCUAAAAGUCCACUGUUUUAUGGAAGAGACUUGGAGACAGUAACUCAGGAGAAGAUCAAACAGAGAAGACUCCAGGUACGGAGUGCACACUGGCCCUCUGUGAGCAGAACG